GAAAAGUCACUUUUAAUAUUUAUAGGACCCUAUGGUUAUAUUCCUUUGAGCUAAAUGUGCACACAAUUGUAAUUUACAGGCAAUGAAAGCUAAACAAGUACUACCCAGUUCUAUUAUCACUCUACCAUCUGCCUUUUAUUUUAAACAAUAGAAUUACUCUAUUGAGUAAAUAUUAAUUUUGAACUAUUUUACAUCAGGCAGGUGGCUAAUGGUACUAUCUGUGGAAUACAACAAUUGUAUAUCUAGCUUUAUUAAAACAAUGAAAAUAUGAUUUAAAAAGGCUCAUUUCAUCUUUGGAAUUUUCAAAAUUCAGUUUAUUAUGACUUCAAAGUUUAGUUUAAUAUAACUUCUGAGAUGUUUCAUAUCUAUAAAUAUAUGGAAUAUAUAUUUAUAGAUAUCACAUAGAUGUUCAUUUAUGUUCCCAUUGCUUAUCUACAAACAAAAAGACAGUAAAUUCCUUUUGAAGGUCAUCUUUUUUACAGCUGCAUAGUUUUAAUGUCACUUAAUCCUCAGUGGUUCAAUCAUAAAAGGAUAUGAAUUAUUGGCUUUUUAACUAAAGUGAACUUUGAAAAUGGAAACCAAAAGAAUAUUAAGCAAGUCAUGUCUCAAGUGAAGAGAUUAAGAAAUUUAUCUCAUGCAAGUAACAGUAAUUUGGUAGUACCUCAGACUCAGGGCUCAUUGGUAACCACAAUUUUAGACAGAGUGACAUAAAAGAGGUCAUAUAACACCCUCAGAAGAGUUCCACAAUGGCAUAUUAUCUGUUUAAAUAAGACUGUUGAUUUGUUUUGCUAUCACUAUGAAAUGUAGACUGUGUAGGUUAUGUCUCCUUCUUUACUAAGAUAGGUUAACAAAAAAUACCCUGUACUUCAGAUAUGCAAAGUGACAUUUUCAAAUGGUUAUGAACAGUGAAAUCAUCUCAACUCAAUAAUCCUAUUCACAUGACCUUAUAGUUACCACUUGCUUUUUGUAAUGUACACUCUCUGUAAGUAACUACUGCAUGUACAAUAUUAUUUUUUAUCCAUAAUUUUACUGCUAUUCAUGAUUACCAUAAUUUUGUCAUCUUGACUCUAAAAUGAGUGCAUUUUUACUACAACUUGAUGGUCCACUAGUAGUCUAGUCUGUGUAUAUUUCAUUUUCACCAUUCAUCUGCUAGCAGACAUAUCAGUAAAUUUUUAUAUUGCAGCUAUUAUAAAUAAGUGAUGCAAUGAACUUAGGAAUACAGAUAGGGUCAACUAUAGUCAUCUUAUUUACUUUUGGCUGCAUAUUGGAAAGUGGAGUUUCUGGAACUCAUUAGUGAUUUUAUAACUGCCUUUCACUAUGAAUGUUUCGAUUCCCAUUUCCAUUUGCAGUAUAAAUUGAUUUCUUGAAUAUAUAAACUUGUCUUUUGAUAUUUUGUUGUUUGCUUGUUUAUUUUGUGUCAGGGACUUACAUUGUAGUUCAGACUGGCCUGGAUUCUACCAAAGGGUUGAGCUAAUCAAAAUUUGUUUCUUUUGACUUUUUAAACAACAGAUUUACUGUUUCCAGUCAUACCACAUGAUAAUUUGAUUUGUUUCUCACUGAUGGUAACAAGAUAUUUGUGCCAUGAUAAAAUACACAUUAGACACUUUAAAAAAUAUUGAACAUGCUCUCAUAUUUCUGAUCAAGCAUACUGAAGCAAACAUUUCACCAAAGCCAUCUAUUUCCCAGAAAUUUCAGGUUCACAACUUAUCUGUGUAUUAUCUACAGAAUAUAUUUUCCAUUACAUAUCAUUCUAAGCUUCCCAUUUAAUGAUUCAUUAGAUCCACUCACCAAGAGUAUGGCAUGACCAUUUGAGAUCAGGGAAACAUUGUGAAGUAUUUUUAUCUUUUUUGAUAGUAGCUACUAAAAGCAAUGAUGCAUCAUCCAAUAAUCUCCAUUUAAGCAUAAGAAGACUAGACACUUCAAAGACAGAGUCUAUGUGCUGGAAGAAAAGAAAACAGAUGCAAUACAGUGGCUUAUAAACAUGGGGGAAAUGGAAGCUGUGACUUUGGGGUUUUAAAUUCUCUAAUCAGCAAGUAUGUACUUCAUUUGAUGUGUUCCAGACACUACUAAGUCUUCUCCCUGUAAUUCCUGUCUACCCAAAUAUAAUUGUACUGCAGAUCUCUCAUAAUCUGUUUUAAUGAUGUCUAGGUCUCAGAUGUAACAAAUUAACUACAAGAUACAAGCAACAGUAAGGAGUUUCUCCACAUAAAAGUUUAAGAUGAAUGAUUUUUAAUAAUUUGCAGUUUUAGGCCAGGCAGUGGUGACACACUCCUUUGAUCCCAGCACUUGGGAGGCAGAGACAGGCAGAUUUCUGAGUUCGAGGCCAGCCUGGUCUGCAGAGUGAGUUCCAGGACAGCCAUGACUACACAGAAAAACCCUGUCUCACAAAACGAAAAACCAAACCAAAACAAAAAAAAAUUGUAUUUUUUUCUAUCACAAUGCAGAAUGAUAUUUUACAGAGUAAAAUAAAAUAUUCAUGAUGCCAUUAAUAUUUUCAAGUUGUUAAAAUAUUCAAAUCAUUUUAUCAAAGUCAGAAAACAAGUUUUCAUACACUUAAAAUAUUUUCAUAGAGAAACUUAAAGCUAAUUUUAUAUGUCAUUGCUAAUUAUAUGUUCACACAUAUACACACACAAAACAAAACAAAACUGAAAAAAGUGCUUUACCAAUAAUUUUGUUAAGUUUCUAGAGAUAUGGUGAUGGUUUUUUACCAAAUGCUUAAAUAACUCAUAGUUUCAGUUCUGUAAUCAGAUAUAUAUUAUUUACCUUGAGAUUUAUUUACUUAUUUCUUAAGGAUGACU
rnacentral:lncRNA from 1 species